AUGGCACAGCUUAGCCUGGCUGAAAAUAUUCACCAUCUUAAUUGGGUUCUGUUUCUGCAAAAAAGUGUCUAUUGAAGACUAAACAGAAUGGUUUGGUUACCAUCAAAUUUGUGAAGCUGGGGGAAGAAAACUGAAGAGAUUAAAACAUCAGCUGGCAGACAGAAACAAGCGCAGACGUGCCAUUCUGCCACUAGGGGACGGUAAGGCUCCACUUAUACAAUACCAGGGGUAAAGGAAAAUUCCACUCGUACUUCCCAAUGUGAUUGUGAUCGCGUGCCGAGCUUCUUAUUAAUGUACUGUCAGAGAAUAAAAUACAGUUGUGUCUUUAAGUCCUGUUGAAUAGUGACUUAAAAUGUGUGCUGAGAAUAAAAGCUUCUGCACAAAAAAA